rnacentral:lncRNA from 1 species
UCAUAAUGAGGUUGCUGUAGUUUGACGAGCACAUAAACAUGGGCCCUAUCCAUUUGGGUCCUUGUGGUGCAGAUUGACUGCAGUAGGUUCAUUGUAGGAGUAGGGGUGCAUCUAGAUAGAAUCUAUCGACCUUGAUAGAUUAGGAGAGAUCCUAUGUGAUUUAUGAGACUGAGUUCGUAAAUCCUUGGCCAAGGUAGUUUUUGGAAAAAGAGUUUUCCAAUCUCGAACUGGAGUCGAAUAAAU